rfam:Hordeum vulgare subsp. vulgare, WGS project CAJW01000000 data, contig: morex_contig_1573939
UAAAUACUCCCUCCGUCCGGAAUUAUUUGUCACAAAAAUGAUAGAAAUGGAUGUAUCUAGAACUANNAUACAUCUAGAUACAUCCAUUCUUUGAACAAGUAUUUUCGGACGGAGGGAGUAUAAG